AGGGGGAAAGAAUUGAAUAGCAUUUCUUCAGAGAAGACAUAGAAGUAGUCACUCAGAGCAUGAAAAGAUGCUCAACGUCUUUAGUCAUUAGGGAAAUACAAACCAAAACCAUAAGGAAAUAACACACUUAUACACUAUGGCUAAAAUAGAAGAAAUCACCAGACAGUGGCAAGAUGCAUGUGUAGCUCUAUAUCUGUGUACUUUUUCAACACUGUGUAAUCGAGCCACGUGUAGAACUAGCUAUAUUUGGUUUUCACUGCCAUAGCAUAUUGGUUUACUAAGGCCUUUACCACAUCCUGUCUGCCUCAUUAGUCUUUGAAACCAUGUGACACUGGCAAAGUAGCUCAUCAUUUUCUCUUUUCUGAAGUUAAGGAAGAAGAUCUGGAGGAUGGACUAGAUAUUUUCAAAUUGUUUGAAAAUAGCUCAAGAAUUCUGUGACCCUUCUUUUGUUGAAAAUACAAGAUCUCAACUGAGCAGCGGUGGCCGGCCUAAGGGCCAGCGCGCAACAGCACUCACCGCUGCAUGGAUCCCCAUGCACUGGGGGCCCUCCCUCCGGGAGCCUACGAGGCAGGAAGCUAGCCAGCUGGAAGACCGGC